UGUCUGAAGAUGCAGAGAAAAGUACAGAUAGACAGUUAGUGUUAGAAAGAAAUUAUGUUGAUUUUCCUGAACAGCUGAUGCACUGACAGACCUGACUGUGACAGAACAUUACUGAACCUGAAAAUUACUUGAGUCAUCACAAUGUAUGUAGAAUUUUUUCUUUUUAUGUUGAUCAAAUGUUUUACAGUAAAUGUUUUUCUGUGGAGGCUAUUUUUGCAGUGGUGCUUUAAAUAAAUGCAUAAAAUAUUUAUUUUCUUAAGUAUGUGUUUAUUAGCUGUUAACUGUGUCAAAAUAUCAAUUGAGAAAGAAAUUAACUGCUUGUGAAAAUCUAAACCAUCUGAAUACAUUUUACCAUCUACAUUAAUCAACUUGAAAUGAAGACGAACAGAAGCAGCAGGUUUGUCCUGGUUUGCAGACGAGGUAUAUAUUUGUUUAAGGGCCGAUGAAAUGGGGUCCAGACACAAACAGUUUAAUCUGAAGAUUCUGGAGGAUGUGU